GCGAUUUGCAAGUAAUCAACUUUCCUAGUGAAACACAGUCAUUUUGCAACUAAAGGACAGCAAUGAAACUUUCUUAGUGGGACAUAUUGUUAGAUGACACUUAUUCUUACAAGAUACAAUUAGAUGAGAUAUUGGGGUUCGCAUUAGGAUUGUGCAUGGUUCUUGGGUAAACCAAACCGAAAUUAUGUUAUUGUUUUGGUACGGCUCCAGAUCUUCAUCAAAACCAGAACCGAACUAAGAACCAAACCAGACUCGAACAGAACCAAA
rnacentral:misc_RNA from 1 species